rnacentral:rRNA from 1 species
UUGACCUCGGAUCAGGUAGGGAUACCCGCUGAACUUAACAUAUCA